AUCAAAGACUGAUGUGCGUGGUAAUUGAUUUCAUAUCAUCAUGCUGUAUUUAGAGAAUUAUAAACAUUGCUAAUCUAAUGUUUCAGGGUAUUUAUGAACAAUUAGCAGUUCUGCACUAGCAUCUCAAACACACUUUUGAUGAUAAUAAUAUACUGAGAUAAAUUCUGUAAAUCCUAAAAGGGCUGUUGUAUAAAUGAUGAUUAGAAAAAAAUUAGAGUUUGUUUUUUUUUUCCUGGUGAAAUGAGUAAGGCUUUGAAAAUAAAAACAGGAGUAUUCUGGUGGUGAGCAUGCAAAAAUGCAGCACAAUUAGCAGGGAGAAUUCUUUGCUUUAUAAUAAUAUACUUGUUCAAAAUUAAAGACUAUGACAUCCACCAUUCUAACUUUAUUGAACUUCUACUACUACUACUGACUAGCUUGGCUGUUUGUGCAGCCUUUACAAUUUCCACAGUGCUUUCUCCCAGGUCAGAAGAGCGUUAGUGGUCAGUGAUACCAAAUCGAAUGGAAGUGUGUGUUUGUGUACUCAAACAGAAAUCCAUGCAGACUUUUAUUUGAAAAUAUUUAAAUGCCUCAUACAUACCAACUUCACUGAUGCUUUUUGUGCAUAUAAUGAAAACCAAUUAUCUGUGGAGAAAACUUGACUGGGUGGAAGGAAAUUAAAUUGGUUUUUAAAGACUUCCUUAAACAGCAGUAGCUAGGGAAAGCUCCAGUAACGCUUUCGCUCAGGACUGUAAUGCCUUUGCCAUAUUCAUUAAUCAUGCUUUAUCCUGACUUUUAUCAGAAGACUUGGAUGGGGAAGACUGCACAUGACAGGAGGCGAGAAGAGCACUUUUAGCGGAAGCUGUGCAUGUCUCGGGGCCGCUCUCCCCGUUCCUGUGACACUCUGGGAACAGCUGCUGGAGGAGUCAGGUUGCGUGCAGGCAGAUGAGUGCCACAGCUGUAACUGAGGCACAGAGCAAUAAACAGAGUGGAGCCAAUUUCUACGAUGGCAAGAGGGGGCAUCGGAGGUGACAACAACGACAAGGACUCAAGGACCGUCCUCCUGACAAGUUUUAGCACUGAGUAUCUCCAGGAAAAAUGCGUUCUCUAAGAAGUGGCAUCCUCCUCGAACUGAAAGAUUCUCAGACUGAUGGAGUGAGUGACGGAGUAGGUUGCCAACUGUAGUUGCUCCACUCAGCACAGAAUGGCUGCGGGGAAUAUAUUCAGACAUUCCCAGAGAAGUCUGCCCAGGGUGAAACAAAUACCUUUGAGGUUUAAAUCAGAAAGGAAGGAGAGGCUGUUUCUACAGGUGUCAUAGGAAAAUCGAUACUGAGCCACGGAUUGUUGGAUCCCAUAGAACCAUGGAGACUUGGCAGUGAAAUUCUUCCAAAGGCAGACGGUGUUCCUAGGUUUGGGAGUAUAAAUCCCAGGGGAAGUGAGCUGAAGAACAUUUUAUGCAUCACUCAUCCUAUUAUGAGCCCUGUGCUGCUCCAUCUCUCUACAAGAUUGGCUGAAACAACCACCACAACAAAAAUUGUUCAUAAUUUGUAUUCUGACAUUGGAUCAUCUAGUUAAUACCCUAACUCUGAUUCCCCAGAAAGACAAUGCUCUAUAAGAAAGACUGUCCAUUAGAAGGUUGCUACUGCAUUAUUAGUAAAAUAACAGGGAAAAUGCAACAUUCUGCAUGUCCCAUCUGAUGAGUUGGCAGUUAAAGAACAGAAACAGAGAAAUAAGACUGCAUGGCUACAUUUUCCCAGUGCCACCAACUGGGAGUUAAGCUGACUAACAUUUUGAAAGCCCAGCCCAUUUCGUUCACAGCAGGCAUGGCAGCGGUUGACUGAUUGUACCUGCCAGCUGGUUAAUAUCAUAAUUAACAAAGUUGCUACUACGUCUGCAAAGUUUAAUCGAAAAAUUUGCCAGGGAUAUGAUGGCAUUGUCACAAAGAUCACAAGGGACUCGGAGUCGAUUUUUGCUCAAGGUGGAACGGCAAAGCUGUGUAGGCAAAAUGAGAAAUCUCGAACUUGUUCAGCCAAAGGUUAUGCUUCAUAUCACCCACCAGGGAGGAUCAUCUCUCAUGAAAACUUUCAAAUUUGAUUUUGAAAAUUAUUCAGAAAAAUUUAAGCCCUGCUAUCUCCCAGUGUAGGAAAGAAUAUGCUCUGGAGAGCCCUGUAAUUCAAAGAAAAUGGACUCAAAUGGAUAACAUUUGAGUUCUCAUGCUACCAAACUCCUCUUGAGAAGAACAGCCAGGAGGCUAAUAAUGGAGGGGCCAGAAAAGAGGCCGGUGCUACAGGGUUAUCUCGCAGCCUCAGAUGCUGGAUAAGUUGGGGGAGACAGAAUCGCUUUUGGGUGACAUUCAGAACGGCUGGAGUGAUUAUUUGGAAGAGAUAAGCCUACCUAUUCUUUUCCAAGGUGCGUGACUAUUCCCCCAGCCUGCCCAUCCCGAUGAAUUCUUAGCAGCCUGCCCGAGACAAAGGAUGCGCUCAGAGCCCCACCACACCUGGAGCCACGCUUUGAAGGAUCUGCCAAGCUCACUUUUAAUCGGGAGAACGAAAUUACCCACAUGGAGUCAGCAGAAAAUGAGAAAGUAGAGCUCGUGCUGCGAAUCAUUCCAGCAAGUGCCAAGGGGCUAGUUGAGGAAUGGCUUCGUGAGGUGAAUAUCUUUAGCUUGUACUUAGGGUUUGGCUAGCGUAUAAUCAUUUUCUCUUUUAGGAGCGAUGACGAUCAUAAGUGUCUUUCCCAACUCAAGAGCACCCCGGGCAUGUGUCGGGCCGUUGUCAGACUCGGUAUCCGUCUUGUCCUUGUUAUUAUUUACUGUGACUAAUUUGACACUUGCAAAUACGCAACGUUCCACCGAGGCGGGGUCUCUCGGAGCCUGGGACCGGGGGGAGCCGCGUGUGUCUGUGUGCCUGGCCGUGAGUGCGUGUCGGUCACUCCUGUCUGUGUGCUGUGCGCCCUUGUUCUCGUCUCCUCUCUGUUGUGCACGUAGCCGGGGAGGGCUGGCCAACCACUGUGUUCUCAGAUGUGGUUCGAGGCUUUCAUUUGAUUUUUGGACCAGGAAGAAAAGAAUGUGUCACAUCAUGAUUAAUGGUCAGUCUGAAUUUUCAAUUCAUACGAAGGGAGAAGGGGGAGGAGGCUAUGAGCCCAGUGAUGAGACUAACCUUUUCCCUUUGGGAAGAGCAUGAUUCAAAUUAAACAGCACUUUCAGUGUGAAAUUAGUUUGAAGGCCUCUCCCUCGCUCCCUCGCUCUCUUUUUUUUGGUCCCUCAUUUAACUCUUUGAUGGGCAGCUCUUUCAGAGAGGAUCCCUUCCUGCCUGAGUCUGUUCCCAGCAGCAGCCUAUGGCUCCUCUUCCUUUGUUCUAGUUUUCUAAAGACUGGGUCCAAAACCCAAGGACAGAAUAUUUGGCUAUUUUCAAAGCUCCAUUAUUUACAAGAUGCCAUUCUCCCUAAAACAUGUUGUUUCUUUACGUCACGAACUGACCUCUCAAACAAGCAAAUAACAUUCUUCUUUUAAGGAUAACUUUGCCAGGGAGAGGGGAGAGCGAUCCUUUUGAAAGACCCCUCGAGUGCCCUCUGCUUUGCGCCAGUCUUCGCUGGCCAGGGGGCCAGUGAGGAAGAGCGGCGACCAGAAAGCCCAAGUUCCCUCUCAGGGGGGCCUCUAGUUCCCCACACGGCUGAGGCACGGGAUCGCCAGGCCAACCUGCAGCAACGCUGGCUUCAGGCAAGGAUGUGCCUGGACACUUUGAAACCACCUUGCAGUACUUCCUGGUCCAAGGACUCAGGCCCAAACGUGUAGAAAUAAGUGCUGUCUGUGGAAACACUGGGCUGCUUGCCCACCUGCACAUCCUGGCUGCCCCCGUCAGGCCCACCAGGAUGUAACCUGUGAUUGAUUCGCUUUCUGGAGUUUGGUGGCUUGUUGGGGAAGGGAUAGUAUUGAAAAGGCUAAGAGACAGGGAUUUUGUUGCAAUGUAUUUUCAAAGGGAAAAUCUGAGAGCUUUGAAAUUCCUUUCCUAAAGGAAGGAGAGGUGUGCUGGAGGAGGCUGGGGAGGUGAGGCAGCUGGGGGUGGAGGUCAAGGUGGAAUGGGGGGGCAGGUGGAGGAAGAGGAGCAGCUGUGUUUAUUUUAAUACAUAUCAUUUAACCCUCACCUAGAAACAAAUUGGAGAGGUUUGGGAGUGCAUUAAUCUGGACCCAAUUAGCAUGUCUUUCUCCUUCAAAAGUGCAACCUGAGACUAAUGAAUAUAAACUAGAGUUUCAGAUGUCGUGCUUAAAUCAUUUGCAUGUUUCAUGCAUGAUAACUGAAUUUAUGUCUGCACUUCCUUUCACUUAACUAUUUCCAGUCUCCUCCUGGUGAGUCACAUGAAGCAGGAUUUCGUUAUCCUGGGUGGGAAGAACUUGCCUAGACUUUACUCCUAAUGAGAAACUUGAGUGCUUGUUUCUUCUAUUUGAAUUUGAAUAAAUCAGUAUUUUUUCAAAAGCAGAAGGCAGGGCUUAAGAGUCUGGCAUGCUGUUUCAGGAGUCGGUAAACAGGCCUUCCAAGUUGAUUUUGGAAAGGGCAGAAAAUCCAUGGCAAUUUAUGGCAUUGAGUUUUCAGUGGUCCCAGAGAACUGGGUUUCAACGUGGCCACUUUUCUUAUUUCCAAGAGCAAUGUCACUUUACUGCCGCAUAAAGAAUGUUCUUGGGCUGUGGACCGGAGUUACUUAGAUCACAGGGAUUUCGUGCACAGCACUGUUUCCGGCAUAAUUCGAUAUUUGCUUCCAUACAUGCGGGUGGGAGAUGGUGUCACCCUCCAUGAAGGUCUGUUAGUGAGCGGUUAGCACUUGUGGUCCCUUAGCAUGCUAUAGGUUUUUUCCUUCCUUCUUUCUUUCUUUUUUGUUAUUUAAGUGUAGAAGCCUUAAUGCUGACAGUGCAAGCAGGUGCUAAGCCCCCUGCCCCCAAACCUGCUCCAAUAUGAAAAGUCUAAAAGCUGGCAGUGUGCAUGUGAGAACACUUCCUAGGGAAAAAGUUGAAACAAGAGGCUUGAAAUAAUCCCCUGGUUUCAGUUUGUAUCAGUGAUUUGUCUGUCUUCUGUCUUUCCUCGUGUGUUUCCAAGUCCAAUGUCAAAGUAAUGCGCUUUUCUCCAGGAAUUCUCCCCAAUGUCCUUUGUUUUGGGUGCAUUCAGUGGUUGCGUGUUGCUGAGUGUCUUCUAGUCUUGUUUCCUGGUCCUUGUAGCUAAGAAUGUCGUUGAAGGAUAAAAUCGUGUUAAUUUGUGAUGUCACAAUUUAAGUGUGCUUCCUGUCACUUACGUGUAGUUUAAAAUGUUCCUUAAUGUAGCAUGAAAUGAUUGGUUAGCUUUGAAAUGGUUGUGAAGUCAUGUGAAGAAAAUAAGUUUUGCAUCCGACCAAGAUAAAUUCACUCUAGUGCUUUAUGGCUUUUUAUUCCUAUGUGAUAGUAAUAAAGUCUCAUGUAGGGAUGGAAGCCAUGAAAUACAUUGUGAAAAAUCAUCAACUAAGAAGGGGCCAUCAGUAUAGAAAACGUUAGCCUGUGGAGCUGUGAACGUGAUGGAGAAAUAAUUUAGCGUAUAGCUUUGCUACGUGUGGUGUUUCUUUGCGUUUCUCUAUCCUGAGAUUUUGACAGCUAAGGAAUCUAGGUUACAAGAGUUGAUUCAUCUUUGUAAUCAUUGAUUUACAUGCGCAUUUAGGUUUGCACAUUUCUGUUUACCAUACAUUUUCUCCGUUCUCUAUUAAGGACCGUGCUCUAGGGGAACUAUUUAUAGCCUGCUGAUCUGGGAGGGAGCAUUUAGUCCUCCUAUGCCUCCUUUCUCCAGCUGUGGUCUUUUUUCUGAAACAAAGAAGAAAUAGUCAAAUCAGACUUGCCCUCUUGGAAAUGUGGUCCAGAUUGCUCUACUCCCAAGCUCCAGAAAAGGUCUACAAGGUUGGGGGGCAGGAUUGGUCAACACCUCCUCAGAUCCAUGAAUCCACUAAGAGUUGAUUUCCACUUUACAGGGGUAGUGUAGUCCAGAAACACCUGGUGUCAGAGGCAAGGGGGGCUUUGGAACAGAGUCAGGCUCUAAUCCCUCUGCUACCCCAACUUCGUGACCUGGGGCAAGUCAUUGAAACUCUGAGCCUCUUUAUCUUUAAAAUGGGGAGAAAUAAUACCUUAGGGGGACGUUGGAAGGAUUAAAUGAAAGCAUGCCUACCUGUGCCUAACAAAGCAUUUAGCAUAUUUAAAAAAUCGACUGAAAUACGACUUUUCCUCCCUUCCUCUCUCAUUCCGUUUUCUCUCCCUCUCAUGUCCUCCCCUCCCUUCAGAUGUUGGUCUAAAAACAGCACCUUUGCGAGAGAGAAGACUAGAAUGUCUAAUAAAACGCAAGCAAGUAACUAAAAAA